CAACUGCAGAGGAUUAUGUGCCAUUAAAAGUGAAAAGUAGUCCUCAGAAAAGUCGUGCAGGGUUUCAGGCAGAGUUAGUGUGUCUUACACCUUGGGUUAAUGGAGAGACACCAGGUCAUAUCACUGCCUUAAGUGUCAACUCUUCCUAUGGCUUAAUGGCGUAUGGGAAUGAAUGUGGUUUGGUUGUUGUUAAUCUAAUUCAGAAAACAUGUUUAUUGAACAUGGGUACUCCAGACCUUUAUGGUUCAGCAGACCCAUAUCGAAGAGUGGCUCGAUCACCAAAAAGAAAUAUCACUGUAGCAU